rnacentral:rRNA from 1 species
GUGUCAGCCGCCGCGGUAAGACGAACCGUGCAAACGUUAUUCGGAAUCACUGGGCAUAAAGGGCGCGUAGGCGGCUUCAUAAGUCAGGGGUGAAAUCCGGCAGCUUAACUGUCGCAGUGCCUUUGAUACUGUGGAGCUCGAGGGAGGUAGGGGUCUGUGGAACUUCCGGUGGAGCGGUGAAAUGCGUUGAUAUCGGAAGGAACGCCGGUGGCGAAAGCGACGGACUGGAUCUCUUCUGACGCUGAGGCGCGAAAGCCAGGGGAGCAAACGGGAUUAGAAACCCCAGUAGUCC